AUUGCAUUUUUAGAUGUUACCGGGAUAAGAUAUUUCAGUGCACUACAAGAAAAAAGUCAAAUAUCUACGUACCAUAAAGAAAAUCAAGAAAUUAAAUAAACUGUUCUUGUUAGGAAUAUCAAAAAAGUUCUAAGCAGCUAAAGAUGAAGCAUUAAAAUGUGAAGAUUUCACCUCCUGCUCUUUGGAUUUUGAAAGGACCCGGGAACCUCAUACGUAAAUAAUGUUUAUCAGCUUUUCCCCUAUAGAAACACUUCCCCAAUCUCACAAAAGAUAGCAUUAAUAUGGCUGGCUCUACUAAAGGCUCUGUGUUACACACUGUGGACCACAAGAAGAAGAGACAGAUUUGGAUCUCACUCGUAGAGUUUACAGCCUAGAGAAGAAGCCUAUGCUACCUUCUAUUGAGAGACAGACUCAAAGUCUGGGCCUAUCCUGGGAAACACAGAGGGAGAUGUGAGGCUACAUCGAACAUUCUGGGGUAACCAGGAGGCAGAUUGCAGAAAGGAUCUAAAGUCAAGAGAAGAAGCCUCUAUUACCUUCUGUUGAAAGACAGACUCAAGGUCUGGGCCUAUCCUGGGAAACACAGAAGGAAAUGUGAGGCUGAGUCGAACAUUCUGGAGUAACCAGGAGGCAGAUCACAGAAAGGAUCUAACGCCAAGGCAAGGAGAGCGGCUCCCAAUGUGGCAAUGAGAGGAUGAAUAUAAACUUUGCCUACUUCGUUUGGGAGCAGGCAAGCCAUCCCUGCAGAAGAUUCCAGUUUUUCUCCUGCUCCUUGUCUAAAGUAGAACUUGUUGACAAAUGCCUCUCUCCGAAUUGCCCAACUGUCACCGGCAGCUCUAAUUACAGUGAAUUACCUCACGCCAGCUGGUGUUACUGCAAAGCAAACAUCAAAAAUUCAAGGUGAUCUAUAGAAACAACACAGAUGUUGUUGCAAAUACUCUGUGGCAUAUUCUGGCCUUUACAUAAUACAGGUCACAUUACUAGUGGUGAGUCAACACCCACAGAUCCUCGUUGGAUUUGCUGCCAGUGAUUCUUCCAUUUUUCCUGAAACUGUCUACUUAUUCGGCUACCGGGAGCACUAUGUGCUUUUGUUUUUCUUCUCAUCUCUGAUAUUUUCUCUGUACUCAGCAUUAAUGAAUAUAAAUAUGUGGAUUGUAGUGAAUUUGCCAGAUUUAUUUUAAAACUUGAGAAACCAUAAAUGUGAAAUGAGAGGUCUAAACUCCUCUUUAACUGUGAUAAAAGAAGACUGAAAUCAAACAACUGAAACCAUGAGCCAAAUCUAUUAGCACUGAACUCCUCCAACAGCAUGAUGUCACAGGCCCCUGGAAGAAUCGACAUGGUUGGCAUUACUCUGGUCAUUUAGUUGCCAUGCAGCCAAGCAAAGGCAAGUGACGAAAAUAGUAUUUUUUAGUAAGGUAGCGCUAUACGUAGUUACACUAAAUCAAUGACGAGCAAAUGGCAGGGGGUCUUCCUGUAUGGGGUUUCAGUUACAUUUACCACUUUAUCACUUUGUCUAGCAAAGUGUUCAGCACUCAUCAAAUAUGUGUCGAAUAUUUUGAACACUGAUGACUUGUUCAAAUGGGUUUGCAGUUAUUUCCUGUUUAACCAAAGUUUAAGUCAAUUAAGGUUGAGUCAAAAUGAAUUUUUUAAAAGCUGGUUGAUCUUUCUUUUUUUCCUUUUUGCAAAGAAAAUUCUUAAUUUUCACUAUUAUGAAAGGCAUUUCAAGUGUAUCUAAGAGAAGCAAACUUGGACUAAAAGGAGAGAAUAUGUAUUUUAGCCUAAGAUCUGUCAGUUUUUGUGAAGUAAGACAAAUCAUGUAAUAGUAUCUAAAGGUUUAUGCUUCAGUUUCCUACCGUGUAAUAACACUGCUCUUGUUAUUUCAUAUCAUUGUUAUGAAAAUGAGAGCAUAAUUAUGAAAAUUCUUUGAAAAACUAAUAAUCCCUAUACAGAUACAGGACUUAUAGUCUAGAUAUAGAAGUAUAUUAUACUCCUGGGGACAUAAAAUGGACAUGAGAGAAACCAUCACAUUUGGUUGUCUAUUCCACACAUACAGACACACAUUUUAGUAAUGCAGAAUGUGAUGCUAGGCACUUCAGGGCAUGCCAAGGUGGGUGGGACAUGUCGUUCUAGUCCCAAAAGCUGACCAUUGUGUAGAGAACAAAGAAGUAGAGCGAUGAGACCUAAGAAGGCUGUGGAGGAGAAGUUCAGAGAACAAAGACACACACACACACACACACACACACACACACACACACACACACACUCUUAAGCUUUAAAAAGAGAAAAUGGUUUUACAUUAAUGGAUCAUUAAAGUAGAGUAUUUUCCCCUUAUCUGUAAAGGAUAUAUAUUUUUUUCAGAUGAAGUCUCUCUGUUGCCCAG